AUGUUACUAUGGUGUUCACAGAUGUUCAAUCAUCCCACUCCAGUGAAGCUCAAAUGGGAAAAACUGGUUAAGCUGUAUAUAUGCCUUUCAUUUAAAUUUCAUCCUCAAAGUAUGACCUUCAGAAUGUCACAUCUUGGGGAGUGAGGGUAAAUUGCUCUUCAUAGUGAAGGCAGAAUUCCUUUCUGUUAUUUAUGUGCUUGAAAUGCAAACUUCCUGUGAUCUAAAUCCAGAGAGAAGGAUUUAAUUUUCAAAAGUUAAAAAGUUCUCUGGUCAAAUGUUAAACCUUGUGCUUUAGAAAUCUGGGCAAACAUUGCUACCAUUUUCUUUAUUGCUUUAUUCUUUUCUUUUGUGUGUGUGUCAUUAUUAUGAACUUGAGAAAGUUAGUGAUGUGGCAUUUUUUCCCCAAAAGUGAAAAAAACACAAUCUCUUGUUUUACAUGAAUUUGUUGGGCUGAUUUCUCUCCUACUAACAUUCACGUAUUCUGGGAUUGAGCAUUGGCUACCAUAAGCUCUUUACAGGGUCAAUACUGACAGGCAGAGAUUUAGCAUUCUAACUAAAAAAAUAUAGAGAGAGAAGUAAAAAAAAAACUAGAACUCAUUCAUAUAAAAAUUCAGAAUAUUAGAACCUUUAGUUUCAUGUUUAGGAAUUUUUAUGAAUAAUUUUUAUUUCAAUAUCUCCAUAUGGUAAGCAUUUCUUGAGUCAUUUUUUGCACCUGAUAAAAGAGAAAGGAAUAAAGCAACAAUAGUUGUCUCGGCUUUUGUAUUUCCAAAGUCAUUCCUUAGCUUUUCAGUACAAUUAGAAUUGUAAAUCAUUGCACUAAUUAUUAAUAAUUUCUUAACUCUUAAGAUGCACACAAAAUGAGGAAUAUGAGAUUAAUACUCUCAACAUGGAGAUUUUAAAAAAUAAAAUCACUCUUUAUCACUACCCACUUAUAUAGUUAUAGAUAGUGUAUAGUUAAUCACUGAUUCAUUAAUUGGAAAGUAUUUGUAGUAAGAAAAUAAUAUCUAGUUGUACAUAUUGGCAUGAGGUAGUAAAAGUGGUAAUAAAGAAAUAUAGAUAUUAAUUAUUUACUUUAUUUACCUAUAAAAAUAUACUUCUGUGGAAUUUACCAUAAGCUCUUUACAGGGUCAAUACUGACAGGCAGAGAUUUAGCAUUCUAACUAAAAAAUAUAGAGAGAGAAGUAAAAAAACUAGAACUCAUUCAUAUAAAAAUUCAGAAUAUUAGAACCUUUAGUUUCAUGUUUAGGAAUUUUUAUGAAUAAUUUUUAUUUCAAUAUCUCCAUAUGGUAAGCAUUUCUUGAGUCAUUUUUUGCACCUGAUAAAAGAGAAAGGAAUAAAGCAACAAUAGUUGUCUCGGCUUUUGUAUUUCCAAAGUCAUUCCUUAGCUUUUCAGUACAAUUAGAAUUGUAAAUCAUUGCACUAAUUAUUAAUAAUUUCUUAACUCUUAAGAUGCACACAAAAUGAGGAAUAUGAGAUUAAUACUCUCAACAUGGAGAUUUUAAAAAAUAAAAUCACUCUUUAUCACUACCCACUUAUAUAGUUAUAGAUAGUGUAUAGUUAAUCACUGAUUCAUUAAUUGGAAAGUAUUUGUAGUAAGAAAAAUAAUAUCUAGUUGUACAUAUUGGCAUGAGGUAGUAAAAGUGGUAAUAAAGAAAUAUAGAUAUUAAUUAUUUACUUUAUUUACCUAUAAAAAUAUACUUCUGUGGAAUUUCCCAUCAGAUUUUAAUGACACAUCUAGAUAUCAUGAAAAUAAAGCUGUAGCAGAUACCUGAAGGCCUUUGGAGGAGAGAGAAAGAACAUUUCAAAAGCAGUUUGGAUGUUAAGUUGCAAAUUCUUUAUGGCAGAUGGUCUUGUUUCUCUUUUUGUUUUAUCAAAUGUGAGUAUUCGUGUCUUAAAAUUAAAAGCAAUACACCAAGUUGUUUUUUUCAUUUAAAUUUAGUUUUUCCUUAUUGUUCUUGGUCCUCAAAUAAUUAUACGUUUGCAUUGUUUAAAACUAUAUAAUGAGAUACAUUAAAUCUAAAUUGAGUAGACACAGGGACAUUUCUUAUGUUACAGAGAAGUCUUUUGGAUGUAUUUGUCUAUUCCAAAUUAUUAUUUUGAUACUUAGGAUGUGAGUAUAAAUUCAAGUGCUAGUAUUUAUUAUAUGCUUGCAGAAAUCCAAGAUACUGAAUAUCUAUGUUACUACCUGUCUUUUCCCACUCAGUAUGUAAAACUAGACAUUAUCUUUCUCACAAAUAAUAUUUGAUUCAUUUGUCAGUGAUUAACUAUAUACCAAAGGGAUAUUAAUAGAGAAAUUUAAAACUUCUUUGU
ensembl:lncRNA